UCAAGCGAAAAAUAGGUCCAUGGUGAAUGCCUGUGGAGCUGCAAGGCGAAGAAGGCCGUGAUAAGCUGCGAAAAGCCGCGGGGAGAAGCACAUAUUUGUUGAUCCGCGGACUGCCGAAUGGGGUAACCCGUCAGGAGCGAUUCUGACACCGCAACGUCUGAAUAAAAUAGGGCGGCGGAGCGAAACUGUGUGAAGUGAACCAUCUAAGUAACACGGGAGAAGAAAUCAAAAGAGAUUCCGUAAGUAGCGGCGAGCGAACGCGGAAGAGCCCAAACCACACAAGUGGGGUUGAAGGGCCGCAUGGGGAUGACCCGGAAAGUUAGAGAAAACCGAUUUAUAGCGGAAUGAUUCAGGAAAGGUCAGCGGGACAGCGUGAAAGCCGCGUACGCGAAAUGAAUCGGACUUUCUGAUGCGGUACCUGAGUACGGCGGGACACGAGAAACCCUGUCGGAAACUGGGUCGACCACGAUCCAAGGCUAAAUACUCGGCAGCUACCGAUAGUGCACAAGUACCGUGAGGGAAAGGUGAAAAGAACCCCGGCAAGGGGAGUGAAAUAGAACCUGAAACCAUGGACUGGCAAGAUGUCGCAGCGCGCAAGCGUGGCGGCGUGUCUUUUGUAGAAUAAACCUGCGAGUUGUCUUAUGCAGCGAGGCUAAGGGAUAGAAGUUCCGGAGCCGGAGCGAAAGCGAGUCUGAAAAGGGCGUUUUAGUUGCAUGAGGCAGACCCGAAGCCAAGGUGAUCUAAUCAUGGGCAGGUUGAAGCCAGGGUAAAACCUGGUGGAGGACCGAACAGUAAUCUGUUAAAAAAGGUAGUGAUGACCUGUGAUUAGGAGUGAAAGGCUAAACAAACCUGGAAAUAGCUGGCUCUCCCCGAAAUGCCUUUAGGGACAGCCUCAUACAAAGCCGGCGGAGGUAAAGCACUGGAUGGGCUAGGGGGCGUCAAAGUCUACCGAAACCAAUCAAACUCUGAAUGCCGCCGACCAGCGUAUGGGAGUGAGACCGUGUGCUCCAAGGUUCAUGGUCAAAAGGGAAACAGCCCAAACCGGCAACUAAGGUCCCGAAAUAACGCUAAGUGUGAAAUGAAGUGCGAAUGCACAGACAGCCAGGAGGUUGGCUCAGAAGCAGCCAUUCCUUAAAAGAGUGCGUAACAGCUCACUGGUCGAGCAUGCGUGCGCAGACAAUGUAACGGGGCUAAGCGUUAUACCGAAGUUCCGGACUCAUGCAGCAAUGCGUGAUUGGUAGGGGAGCAUUCCAUAGACUGAAGAAGGAAUACCUGUGAGGGGUUCUGGAGGAGAUGGAAGAGAGAAUGCAGGCACAAGUAACGAAAAGACGGGUGAGAUUCCCGUCCGCCGAAAACCUAAGGUUUCCUGGGUAAAGGCAAUCUGCCCAGGGUAAGUCGGCCCCUAAGACGAGGGAGAAAUCCGUAGCCGAUGGGAAAUUGGUUUAUACUCCAAUACCUUCAUCAGUUUUUACGACAGGACGCAUGAGGUGAAAUCCGGCCGGAGAAUGGUAGUUCCGGUCAAAGCAUUAACCUGAUGAGGGAGGCGGUAAACACACCUCCUGAGGGAAGAUGUGACAGCGAGCAGAGAGAAAGUCGAAGCGAAGCGGACGUAAUCAUGGUGCCGGGAAAAACUGUCUAAAGCUAGGCUGGUGGAGACCGUACCGGAAACCGACACAGGUAGGAAGGAUGAGUAAUCUAAGGCGCACGAGUGACCUCGCGUUAAGGAACUCGGCAAAAUGCACACGUAACUUCGGAAGAAGUGUGGCUCACAUUGUCAAAGAUAGUGAGCGGCAGAAAGCAGGCCCAGGCGACUGUUUACCAAAAACACAGCCAUCUGCGAACCAGCAAUGGGACGUAUAGGUGGUGACACCUGCCCGGUACUGGAAGGUUAAGAGGAGCGGUGAGAAGCAAUUCAAAGCUGCGAAUCGAAGCCCCAGCAAACGGCGGCCGUAACUAUAACGGUCCUAAGGUAGCGAAAUUCCUUGUCGGGUA
rnacentral:rRNA from 1 species